GCGAGAGAUGAAGGAAGUGACAGUAUCUCGCCAGCAAGCACCGGCUAACUACGUGCCAGCAGCCGCGGUAAUACGUAGGGUGCAAGCGUUGUCCGGAAUUACUGGGCGUAAAGGGAGCGCAGGUGGUUAUUUAAGUCAAUAGUAAAAGGCAUGGGCUUAACCCAUGUAAGCUAGUGAAACUAAAUAACUUGAGUAUGGUAGAGGUAAGCGGAAUUCCUAGUGUAGCGGUGAAAUGCGUAGAUAUUAGGAGGAACACCAGUGGCGAAGGCGGCUUACUGGGCCAUAACUGACACUGAGGCUCGAAAGCGUGGGGAGCAAACAGGAUUAGAUACCCUGGUAGUCCACGCCGUAAACGAUGAGUGCUAGGUGUUGGGGGUUUAGAUACCCUCGGUGCUGUAGUUAACGCAAUAAGCACUCCGCCUGGGGAGUACGAUCGCAAGAUUG
rnacentral:rRNA from 1 species